GGAAGUCCACCAAAACUGACAUACAGAUGGAGGUUUUAAACCACUCUAAGGUGCCGUAAUCAAAAGCUGUGGUAUUGAGCGUUAAGGAAAAGGUAGUACUGAAAAAGCAUCAG
rnacentral:ncRNA from 1 species